rnacentral:rRNA from 1 species
CAAGGAAUUUUCCGCAAUGGGCGCAAGCCUGACGGAGCGACGCCGCGUGGGGGACGACGCCUUUCGGGGUGUAAACCCCUUUUCUUCGGGACGAACAGAUGACGGUACCGGAGGAAGAAGCACCGGCUAACUACGUGCCAGCAGCCGCGGUAAGACGUAGGGUGCGAGCGUUGUCCGGAGUUAUUGGGCGUAAAGCGCGCGUAGGCGGCGUGGUGCGUCGCACGUGAAAGCCCGCGGCUCAACCGCGGAGGGUCGUGCGAGACGGCCGCGCUGGAGGCAGGGAGAGGCUGGUGGAAUUCCCGGAGUAGUGGUGAAAUGCGUAGAGAUCGGGAGGAACACCGGUGGCGUAGGCGGCCAGCUGGCCCUGACCUGACGCUGAGGCGCGACGGCGUGGGGAGCGAACGG